rfam:Elizabethkingia anophelis NTHP1, complete genome.
UAUAUUUGCACCCGAAUUACAUAAUAAUCAUUUAAAUAAUAUUGGAAUG